rnacentral:lncRNA from 1 species
UGUGUAUUAAUUUUGUAAGAGCUUUGCAAAGUUGAGGUUUGUUUUGAGUGAUUCUAGAUUUGUGAAAUAAAAUAGGUGAUACUUUUUGAAAAAUUUUAUAAAUUUGGCAAUAGAUCUAUAAGUGAAAAUUUUAGAUUUUUAUAUGUAGUUGUGCUUCAUGUAUGCUGUAUAUUUGGAUUUGAUCAAAUGAUUAGAUUAAAAGGCAUAAAAGUUUUUAUGGAUUAUGGACUUGGAAUUUAGGAUUUUAAAGACUAAUGAGGUUUUCUUAGAUAUCUGUCAAUCCACUAAUUAUAUUGAAAUAAUUAUUUUCAUAGAACUAGUUAAAUUGAUUUCUAAUAAGUAUGUAAAGUUUGGAAGCAAAGUAAUAGUUUAAUGAAGAGUAA